rnacentral:rRNA from 1 species
CAGGAUGAACGCUAGCGGCAGGCCUAACACAUGCAAGUCGAGGGGUAACAGGAGUAGCAAUACUUGCUGACGACCGGCGCACGGGUGAGUAACGCGUAUGCAACCUACCUUUGACUGGAGAAUAGCCCGAAGAAAUUCGGAUUAAUGCUCCAUGAGACCACAAUACCGCAUGAUAUAGUGGUAAAAGCUCCGGCGGUCAAAGAUGGGCAUGCGUGCCAUUAGUUAGUUGGUGAGGUUACGGCUCACCAAGACAACGAUGGCUAGGGGGUCUGAGAGGAUGAUCCCCCACACUGGUACUGAGACACGGACCAGACUCCUACGGGAGGCAGCAGUGAGGAAUAUUGGUCAAUGGACGCAAGUCUGAACCAGCCAUGCCGCGUGCAGGAUGAAUGCCCUAUGGGUUGUAAACUGCUUUUCUACAAGAAGAAACUUCCUGAUGUAUCAGGAACUGACGGUAUUGUAGGAAUAAGCAUCGGCUAACUCCGUGCCAGCAGCCGCGGUAAUACGGAGGAUGCAAGCGUUAUCCGGAUUCAUUGGGUUUAAAGGGUGCGUAGGCGGGGUAGUAAGCCAGUGGUGAAAGCCUGCGGCUUAACCGUAGAAUUGCCAUUGAUACUGCUAUUCUUGAGUGCAGUUGAGGUAGGCGGAAUGUGUAAUGUAGCGGUGAAAUGCUUAGAUAUUACACAGAACACCGAUUGCGUAGGCAGCUUACUAAACUGUAACUGACGCUGAGGCACGAAAGCGUGGGGAGCGAACAGGAUUAGAUACCCUGGUAGUCCACGCUGUAAACUAUGAUCACUCGCUGUUGGCGAUACAUUGUCAGCGGCUGAGCGAAAGCAUUAAGUGAUCCACCUGGGGAGUACGGCCGCAAGGUUGAAACUCAAAGGACUUGACCGGGGCCCGCACAAGCGGUGGAACCUGUUGGUUUAUUCGAUGAUACGCGACGAACCUUUACUGGGCUUUAAUGCCGAACGACGUACCGGG